CCCACACCAGCCCACAACAAUGGCCGUCGCCAAUGUCCCAGUCCCUGGAGAGGUCUCACCCCUCACCGAGAUGCACUCAGGGCCUAUCAGAUACAUAGAAAAUGUGAAAGGAUGCCCUCCACGCUGUUACCUGAGGCAAUUCCAGGACAUGGAAGUGGCAGAAGACCCAAGGGGGAGGAGGAGUCAAUGUUAGCAGCUAGCAAGUGGAGGAGGGAGAAAGAGGAAAGAUGCCUGGCUGGGGCUUUCCACCUGCAACCGUUCGGAGUUCGGCAGAGGGGGAGUGAGUAGCUGUCAUGAUGAAUGGAUUUGGGAGAGUUGAUAACUACGUGAGACUGGACACCCUAAUGACCAAAUGAGGGACCUUGUAUCACCCAAGAGUGACCAGAACCUGAAGGAUCAGUGGAAACAAAUGUCCAGUUGCUCUGGACCACAAGUCCUGCUUGUUCAACACACUGUUACAUAAGGAACUUCCUAAAAGUGUGAACUCUCUACCCCACUGGGUCUUAAGUGUUAAGAGUGCAGGGUUGGCAUCUGUUUUGCUCGUCAUUGCGUCUUCAACACUUGGUCCAGUGUCUGGCUUGUGCCACAUAUUCCAUAAAUAUUUGCUCAAUGAAUUAAUGAAUAUUAAUAAAGCUGAGCAGACUGCAUUGUGAAGGGAUAAAUUUCUUGUGAUGGGAAGAAGGGAAGCAGGUGGUCCCUGGGUUGGACUUGCAGAAGGAUCUUGCAAGCUGGCCAGAUGGUGCCUACAUCUCCAUCCUGCGCCCACUUCCAUGGCUCUAAGCUCUUGCCUGGCUUUCCUACCUUGCCAAUAAGGAGUUCACACUCAAGCCCAGGAUAAGCCCAGGUUUAGAAAUGAUGUGCUUUUUGUUUCUGCGUUGCUUUUUAGCAAAAAUGAAAUUAUCGAGCAAAGUGCAAAUCUCUGGGCUCAGUAUUUACACAUAUUAUCUCUUAUCCUUGGAACGAAUCUGAAAAACAGAUACUAUUUUUAAUCCUUAACCUCAGAGAGGUUAAGUGAUUUACCCAAGGCCACUAGCCCAGCUAGUACAUUGCCAAGAGGGGAUUCAAAUACAGCAUGAUUAUUUUUAGGAGGUGGCGUGUGGGUUCUCUGAUAAUCUCUCCUCAUUAUUGAGGUGGGAAGCUUCUUCAGGCACGUGGGCCAAAAGUUUAGACGGUUAGGGAAAAAUCACGUGUGGUUUUAGGAUUAGAGGAGGCAGGUUUCAUGGAGCAAGAGGCCAUACAUUCAGAGUGCUUUGGGGCCAAGGAAAGGAAAGGUGUGGCAGAGCUCAAAUAUCAAGCCCCUUAUCCACCUUUGCAGGGAAGCACUGGGCAUGCUGGGCGGCUGUAGACUGGGGACUAUGAGCCAAGUCCAGAGUGUGUGUUUGGUUCUCUGUGGGUUUUGGGGAGCUGGUCAAUGAGUUUCUCUAGACUUGAGAAUGCACGUCAGUGGAUACCAGGACCACACCACUGGGAUGGACUUAGGAUGAAGAUGCCAUUAUAGUCAAAUGUAUUAACUUUUAUUUGUCAAGCUUUUUAAUUGAACUAUAACAUGUCACAUGAAAGCACAAGUCAUAAGUGCACAGUUCAGUGACUUAUCUCAAAGUGAAUGCUCCUGUGUGGCUACCACGCAGGUCAAGAAACAGAAUAUAAUGAGCACUCCAAAAGCCCCUAUCCCUGUCUCUCCUGGUAGUUGCUAAUCCCUCGCUGCAAAGGCAACCACUAUUCUGCUUUCUAACGCCAUGUAGAUAGCUUUGCUUUGUUUUGAAAUUCAAAUAAAUGGAAUCAC